GACGAACGCUGGCGGCGUGCUUAACACAUGCAAGUCGAACGGAAAGGCCCUGCUUUUGUGGGGCGCUCGAGUGGCGAACGGGUGAGUAACACGUGAGUAACCUGCCCUUGACUUCGGGAUAACUUCACGAAACUGGGGCUAAUAACGGAUAGGAGCUCCUGCUGCAUGGUGGGGGUUGGAACGUUUCGGCGGUUGGGGAUGGAGCCGCGGCUUAUCAGCUUGUUGGUGGGGUAGUGGCUUACCAAGGCUUUGACGGGUAGCCGGCCUGAGAGGGUGACCGGCUACAUUAGAACAGGGAAACGGCCCGGACUCCAACGGGAGGCAGCAGUGAGGAAUAUUGCACAAUGGGCGGAAGCCUGAUGCAGCAACGCCGCGUGCGGGAUGACGGCCUUCGGGGUGUAAACCGCUUUCGCCUGUGACGAAGCGUGUGUGACGGUAAUGGGUGAAGAAGCACCGGCUAACUACGUG
rnacentral:rRNA from 1 species